rnacentral:rRNA from 1 species
UACAGAGGGGGCAAGCGUUGUUCGGAAUUACUGGGCGUAAAGGGCGCGUAGGCGGCCUGUUAAGUCGAACGUGAAAUCCCCGGGCUCAACCCGGGAACUGCGUCCGAUACUGGCAGGCUUGAAUUCGGGAGAGGGAUGUGGAAUUCCAGGUGUAGCGGUGAAAUGCGUAGAUAUCUGGAGGAACACCAAUUGCGAAGGCAGCUCGCUGGGACGUCACUGACGCUGAGACGCGAAAGCGUGGGGAGCAAACAGG